GAUGAAGAACGCAGCGAAAUGUGAUAAGUAAUGUGAAUUGCAGAAUUCAGUGAAUCAUCGAAUCUUUGAACGCACAUUGCGCCCGCCAGUAUUCUGGCGGGCAUGCCUGUUCGAGCGUCAUUUCAACCCUCAGGGCCCUUUUGGACCUGGCGUUGGGGCUCGGCCGCUACCCUGCGGCCGUCCCCGAAAGAUAGUGGCGGUCUCGCUGUAGCCUCCUCUGCGUAGUAGUUACAUCUCGCACUGGAACGCGGCGCGGCCAUGCCGUUAAACACCCCACUUCUCAAGGUUGACCUCGGAUCAGGUAGGAAUACCCGCUGAACUUAAGCAUAUCAAUAAGCGGAGGA
rnacentral:misc_RNA from 1 species